rnacentral:rRNA from 1 species
UACGGAGGGGGCUAGCGUUGUUCGGAAUUACUGGGCGUAAAGCGCACGUAGGCGGCUUUGUAAGUUAGAGGUGAAAGCCCGGGGCUCAACUCCGGAAUUGCCUUUAAGACUGCAUCGCUCGAUUGUGGAGAGGUAGUGGAAUUCCGAGUGUAGAGGUGAAAUUCGUAGAUAUUCGGAAGAACACCAGUGGCGAAGGCGACUUCACUGGACACAUAUUGACGCUGAGGUGCGAAAGCGUGGGGAGCAAACAGG